UACGGAGGAUCCGAGCGUUAUCCGGAUUUAUUGGGUUUAAAGGGUGCGUAGGCGGCCUUGUAAGUCAGGGGUGAAAGACGGUAGCUUAACUAUCGCAGUGCCCUUGAUACUGCAGGGCUUGAAUGUACUAGAGGUAGGCGGAAUGUGACAAGUAGCGGUGAAAUGCAUAGAUAUGUCACAGAACACCAAUUGCGAAGGCAGCUUACUAUGGUAUGAUUGACGCUGAGGCACGAAAGCGUGGGGAUCAAACAGG
rnacentral:rRNA from 1 species